rnacentral:rRNA from 1 species
GACGAACGCUGGCGGCGUGCUUAACACAUGCAAGUCGAACGGUGAAGCGCCUUCCUUUUUGGUGGGUGUGGAUGAGUGGCGAACGGGUGAGUAACACGUGAGUAACCUGCCCCCUUCUUCUGGAUAACCGCAUGAAAGUGUGGCUAAUACGGGAUAUUCUGGGUCUGUCGCAUGAUGGGUCUGGGAAAGAUAUUGUUUCGGUGGGGGAUGGGCUCGCGGCCUAUCAGCUUGUUGGUGGGGUGAUGGCCUACCAAGGCGGUGACGGGUGGCCGGCCUGAGAGGGUGGACGGUCACACUGGGACUGAGACACGGCCCAGACUCCUACGGGAGACAGCAGUGGGGAAUAUGGCACAAUGGGCGCAAGCCUGAUGCAGCGACGCCGCGGGAGGGAUGGAGGCCUUCGGGUUGUGAACCUCUUUCGCCAGUGAAGCAGGCCUGCCUCGUUUGUGGGUGGGUUGACGGUAGCUGGAUAAGAAGCGCCGGCUAACUACGUG